CGAAUGGCUCAUUAAAUCACACCUAAUAUACUGGAUAUUAAUCAGUUACUUGGAUAACUGCGGUAAUUCUGGAGCUAAUACAUGCACUCAAGCCCUGAACCUCGUGUGAAGGGCGCUUUUAUUAGAUCAAAGCCAAACGCUUUCUUCGGACGGCGUCUUUUUGGUGACUCUGAAUAACCUUUAGCGGAUCGCAUGGCUUUAUGCCGGCGACGUGUCCUUCUAAGGUGUGCCCUAUCAACUGUCGACUGUGGUAUAGUCGACCACAGUGGUUUUGACGGGUAACGGGGAAUUAGGGUUCGAUUCCGGAGAGGGAGCCUGAGAAACGGCUACCACUUCUACGGAAGGCAGCAGGCACGCAAAUUACCCACUGGUCGAAGACCGAGGUAGUGACGAAAAAUAACGAUACCGGACUCAUCCGAGGCCCGGUAAUCGGAAUGAGUACACUUUAAAUCCUUUAACGNGGAACAAUUGGAGGGCAAGUCUGGUGCCAGCAGCCGCGGUAAUUCCAGCUCCAAUAGCGUAUAUUAAAGUUGUUGCGGUCAAAAAGCUCGUAGUUGGAUCUCGCAGGUUGGGGGUGGUUUCAUUAUUUAAUGUUUAACUGCUCCAUGAACUUGUGUUUUUUUUGACAGAGGUUCCAAGGUGCUCUUGAUUGAGUGUCGUGGAAUGCUGUCAGGUUUACUUUGAAAAAAUUAGAGUGCUCAAAGCAGGCUUUACAAGCUUGAAUAUUGGUGCAUGGAAUAAUAGAAUAGGAUGUUGUGUCCUUUUUGUUGGUUGUAGGGAUAUUAACAUAAUGAUUAAUAGGGACAGUCGGGGGCAUUAGUAUUCAGACGACAGAGGUGAAAUUCUUGGACCGUUUGAAGACUAACUACUGCGAAAGCAUUUGCCAAGAAUGUUUUCAUUAAUCAAGAACGAAAGUUAGAGGUUCGAAGGCGAUCAGAUACCGCCCUAGUUCUAACCAUAAACGAUGCCAGCUAGCGAUCCGCUUGUGUUUAUUUAAGGCCCUGCGGGAAGCUUCCGGGAAACCAAAGCUUUUGGGUUCCGGGGGAAGUAUGGUUGCAAAGCUGAAACUUAAAGGAAUUGACGGAAGGGCACCACCAGGAGUGGAGCCUGCGGCUUAAUUUGACUCAACACGGGAAAUCUCACCAGGCCCGGACACCGGAAGGAUUGACAGAUUGAGAGCUCUUUCUCGAUUCGGUGGGUAGUGGUGCAUGGCCGUUCUUAGUUGGUGGAGUGAUUUGUCUGGUUAAUUCCGAUAACGAACGAGACUCUGUCCUGCUAAAUAGUCUCAACGUCUAUCAUUUUACGUUGGAAAUUUAUCUUCUUAGAGGGACUGGCGGCGUCUAGCCGCACGAGAUUGAGCAAUAACAGGUCUGUGAUGCCCUUAGAUGUUCUGGGCCGCACGCGCGCUACACUGAAGAGCUCAACGUGUUUUUCUGUCCUGAGAAGGAUGGUUAACCCUUUGAACCCUCUUCGUGGUAGGGAUCGGGGCUUGCAAUUAUUCCCCGUGAACCAGGAAUUCCCAGUAAGCGCAAGUCAUAAGCUUGCGUUGAUUACGUCCCUGCCCUUUGUACACACCGCCCGUCGCUACUACCGAUUGAACGUUUUAGUGAGGUAUUUGGACUGGGGGCCCGGAGUGUUUUCACUCGGGUGCUUUCCGGAAAGAUUCCCAAACUUGAGCGUUUAGAGGAAGUAAAAGUCGUAACAAGGU
rnacentral:rRNA from 1 species